rnacentral:rRNA from 1 species
UGCGUAGGCGGGCUAAUAAGUCAGUGGUGAAAUCUCUCGGCUCAACCGGGAAACUGCCAUUGAUACUGUUAGUCUUGAGUUCGGUUGAGGCAGGCGGAAUGUGUAAUGUAGCGGUGAAAUGCUUAGAUAUUACACAGAACACCAAUUGCGUAGGCAGCUUACUAGACCGACACUGACGCUGAGGCACGAAAGCGUGGGGAGCGAACAGGAUUAGAUACCCUGGUAGUCC